rnacentral:rRNA from 1 species
GAUGAACGCUGGCGGCGUGCCUAAUACAUGCAAGUCGAACGCUUCACUUCGGUGAAGCGUGGCGAACGGGUGAGUAAUACAUAAGUAACCUGGCAUCUACAGGGGGAUAACUGAUGGAAACGUCAGCUAAGACCGCAUAGGUGUAGAGAUCGCAUGAACUCUAUAUGAAAAGUGCUACGGGACUGGUAGAUGAUGGACUUAUGGCGCAUUAGCUUGUUGGUAGGGUAACGGCCUACCAAGGCGACGAUGCGUAGCCGACCUGAGAGGGUGACCGGCCACACUGGGACUGAGACACGGCCCAGACUCCUACGGGAGGCAGCAGUAGGGAAUUUUCGGCAAUGGGGGAAACCCUGACCGAGCAACGCCGCGUGAAGGAAGAAGGAAUUCGUUAUGUAAACUUCUGUCAUAGAGGAAGAACGGUGGAUAUAGGGAAUGAUAUCCAAGUGACGGUACUCUAUAAGAAAGCCACGGCUAACUACGUG